rnacentral:rRNA from 1 species
AUGGCGAGCAGCGGGGGAGGCGCGGCUGCGGCGCGGAUGGACCCCGAGGCGGCGACGGAGCUGGCGCGGAAGGGGGUCACGCUGCUGCUCCUCGACGUGCCCCAGCACACCGUCCUCGGCCUCGACACGCAGGUGUUCUCGGUGGGCCCCAGGUUCAGAGGGAUCAAGAUGGUGCCGCCAGGCCCGCAUUUCCUCCACUACUGCUCCCCCAGCAGGCACGGGAAUGAGUUCGCGCCGACAGUCGGAUUCUUCCUUACUACUCACCCAUCUCAGGUGGUCGUUCGAAGAUGGCAUGCUCAAGAGGAGAGACUAGUGACACUGUCAGAAGAGGAGGAAAUCAGAUACUCUGAAGCAGUAAAACGUUUCGAGUUCGAUGAUCAGCUUGGGCCAUACAAUUUGGAUUCUUUUGGAGACUGGAAACAACUUUCAAGCUACUUGUCACACAGUGUCAUUGAACGCCUUGAGCCAAUUGGUGGAGAAAUUACAAUUGCAUUGGAGGCAUCAUGGAUGGAUAGAGCUCCCCAAACAGAUAUGGAGAGACGAUUGAUGGAACAACUUAGAGAAGACAAAUUUGCAAAGAAAGCCCCUGCACAGCCUGAGAGGAGAGGAUGCUAUUACACAACUAUUCCCGCUUCGGUUAAGCACAGAAACAUUUCUGCAGAUGAGCUGACUUUGCUGAACUUGGACAGAACAAGCUUGCUGGAGACUGUCCUGGCCAAAAGUUAUCAAGGCCAAGAAGAUUUACUCUUGGGGGAGCUGCAGUUCUCUUUCAUAGCGUUUAUGAUGGGACAGUCGCUGGAGGCGUUUAUGCAGUGGAAAGCAUUAGUCAGUCUUCUUUUGAGCUGCAGUGAAGCUCCACUUCAUACAAGGACGCAAAUGUUUGUAAAGUUUAUAAGGGUUAUUUACUAUCAAUUCAAGCAUGGCUUUCAACGCACACAUGAUUCCAGAAGUAGUGAAGACAAGGGCAACUCUUUGUUUCUGGAUGAAGCAUGGUUCUCAAGAGACAUAUUUCUUUACCGGCUUUCCAAGGAUUUCUUAGCGGUAAUAUUUGAAGCUCAAGUCGUGGAUGGAGACCUUCUGUCGUGGGCUAGGAAACUUAAGACGCUCUUGGAGACCACGUUCGGAUGGGAUCUCGAGAACAAUGCGGCGAACCUUAUCGAUGAGGACGACGAGUUUGCUCCGGUGGUCGUGGAAAUGGACGGCUCCUAG